GACGAACGCUGGCGGCGUGCCUAAUACAUGCAAGUAGAACGCUGAAGAGAGGAGCUUGCUCUUCUUGGAUGAGUUGCGAACGGGUGAGUAACGCGUAGGUAACCUGCCUUGUAGCGGGGGAUAACUAUUGGAAACGAUAGCUAAUACCGCAUAACAAUAGGUGACACAUGUCAUUUAUUUGAAAGGGGCAAUUGCUCCACUACAAGAUGGACCUGCGUUGUAUUAGCUAGUAGGUGAGGUAACGGCUCACCUAGGCGACGAUACAUAGCCGACCUGAGAGGGUGAUCGGCCACACUGGGACUGAGACACGGCCCAGACUCCUACGGGAGGCAGCAGUAGGGAAUCUUCGGCAAUGGGGGCAACCCUGACCGAGCAACGCCGCGUGAGUGAAGAAGGUUUUCGGAUCGUAAAGCUCUGUUGUAAGUCAAGAACGAGUGUGAGAGUGGAAAGUUCACACUGUGACGGUAGCUUACCAGAAAGGGACGGCUAACUACGUGCCAGCAGCCGCGGUAAUACGUAGGUCCCGAGCGUUGUCCGGAUUUAUUGGGCGUAAAGCGAGCGCAGGCGGUUUGAUAAGUCUGAAGUUAAAGGCUGUGGCUCAACCAUAGUUCGCUUUGGAAACUGUCGAACUUGAGUGCAGAAGGGGAGAGUGGAAUUCCAUGUGUAGCGGUGAAAUGCGUAGAUAUAUGGAGGAACACCGGUGGCGAAAGCGGCUCUCUGGUCUGUAACUGACGCUGAGGCUCGAAAGCGUGGGGAGCGAACAGG
rnacentral:rRNA from 1 species